GAAUCCCGUCUUUGACAUGGACUGCCAGGGCUUUGUGAUGCGCUCUCAAAGAGUCGAGUUGUUUGGGAAUGCAGCUCAAAAUGGGUGGUAAAUUCCAUCUAAAGCUAAAUAUUGGCGAGAGACCGAUAGCGAACAAGUACCGUGAGGGAAAGAUGAAAAGAACUUUGGAAAGAGAGUUAAACAGUACGUGAAAUUGCUGAAAGGGAAACGCUUGAAGUCAGUCGCGUCAUCCAGGGAUCAACCUUGCUUUUGCUUGGUGCACUUUCUGGUUUGAUGGGUCAGCAUCAAUUUUGACCAUUGGAAAAAGGUUAAGGGAAUGUGGCAUCUUUGGAUGUGUUAUAGCCCUUGGUCACAUACAAUGGUUGGGAUUGAGGAACUCAGCAUGCCGCAAGGCCGGGUUUUAAAACCACGUUCGUGCUUAGGAUGCUGGCAAUAUGGCUUUAAUCGACCCGUCUUGAAACACGGACCAAGGAGUCUAACAUGCCUGCGAGUGUUUGGGUGGUGAAAACUCAUGCGCGCAAUGAAAGUGAUGGUUGAGAUCCCUGUCAUGGGGAGCAUCGACGCCCAGACCAGACCUUUUGCGACGGAUCUGCGGUAGAGCAUGCAUGUUGGGACCCGAAAGAUGGUGAACUAUGCCUGAAUAGGGUGAAGCCAGAGGAAACUCUGGUGGAGGCUCGUAGCGAUUCUGACGUGCAAAUCGAUCGUCAAAUUUGGGUAUAGGGGCGAAAGACUAAUCGAACCAUCUAGUAGCUGGUUCCUGCC
rnacentral:rRNA from 1 species